rnacentral:lncRNA from 1 species
CUUCAAUUCAUAUUCCACUUGUUGGAGUGUUUUCAUCAUUAUGACAUCAUUUGAUUCUCUCUACUAACUCAAGAAACAGGAAAGAAUACAUAAUGUUACUCCUAUUUUACAGAACUAGCUGUUGAAAUACAUGUUUGCUUUUCCCCAAUCAUAAGAAUUGCUGAACACUCUAAAAGCACCAGGCCUGAGGCCAAGGUCCACUUCGUCUUGGUACAGGAAGAGCUGCAUUCCAUCUGUUCUGGCCUCGAGGAAGCUUGCACAAAUCUAUCUUCCCUUUGCGUGUCUUAUGAAACUCCAUGACCCUUUAUGAAAUCUAAUAGAGGAAUUCCAUUUCCACCGGUGGAGGAGUGUCCAUCAAUAGCUUGCUGAUCAAUGGCUUUCCCCUGAAGGAAGCAGAGAGAAACAGCCAGAUGAGAAAAUGGGCAUACGACAUAUAGGUUCUGAAAACAGUCCAAUUAUGCCACAUCUUGUGUACUUUGUUUUAAAUGAUGGUGGUGAUGAUAAGAAAAGGGGGUAAAAGGAGGAGGAAGAUAGAAUCAGGAUGCUUGUCGGUGGUCUAAGGGAAACGUCUCAGGAUAAAGUCAGCAACGUGACACUCUUGCUUAAGGAGCAAAUGCCAUUAGUGACAUUCAGAAGUAAGCUGAGGAUAUUUAGGCAUGGCUGUCUUCAUUCUUCAAUAAUUUUGUGUUAGCACCAGAAAAAUACAAGGCAUCAUUUUCGAGUGUAUUUUUAUCCAAUUAUAUGGCUUUGCCAUGGAAACAGCAUAAUUGAAUUAAAUGUUUUUUAAAAAAAAUAAAGAAAAUAAACAUCCUGAG